UCAGGAUGAACGCUGGCGGCGUGCUUAACACAUGCAAGUCGAACGAUGACCYCSWGCUUGCWSGGGUGAUKAGUGGCGAACGGGUGAGUAACACGUGAGUAACCUGCCCCUGACUCUGGGAUAAGCCCGGGAAACUGGGUCUAAUACCGGAUAUGACUGCUGGCCGCAUGGCCUGGUGGUGGAAAGAAUUUCGGUUGGGGAUGGACUCGCGGCCUAUCAGCUUGUUGGUGAGGUAGUGGCUCACCAAGGCGACGACGGGUAGCCGGCCUGAGAGGGUGACCGGCCACACUGGGACUGAGACACGGCCCAGACUCCUACGGGAGGCAGCAGUGGGGAAUAUUGCACAAUGGGCGCAAGCCUGAUGCAGCGACGCCGCGUGAGGGAUGACGGCCUUCGGRUUGUAAACCUCUUUCAGUAGGGAAGAAGCGAAAGUGACGGUACCUGCAGAAGAAGCGCCGGCUAACUACGU
rnacentral:rRNA from 1 species